rnacentral:tRNA from 1 species
GGGGUUGUGGCUUAGUGGUAGAGCGCUUGCCUAGCAUGUAUGAGGAACCGGGUUCGAUCCUCAGCACCA